UGGGGAAUAUUGGACAAUGGGCGGAAGCCUGAUCCAGCAACGCCGCGUGAGGGAUGACGGCCUUCGGGUUGUAAACCUCUUUCGCCUGUGACGAAGCGCAAGUGACGGUAACAGGUAAAGAAGCACCGGCCAACUACGUGCCAGCAGCCGCGGUAAUACGUAGGGUGCGAGCGUUGUCCGGAAUUAUUGGGCGUAAAGGGCUCGUAGGCGGUUUGUCGCGUCGGGAGUGAAAACCAGGUGCUUAACACCUGGCUUGCUUUCGAUACGGGCAGACUAGAGGUAUUCAGGGGAGAACGGAAUUCCUGGUGUAGCGGUGAAAUGCGCAGAUAUCAGGAGGAACACCGGUGGCGAAGGCGGUUCUCUGGGAAUGACCUGACGCUGAGGAGCGAAAGUGUGGGGAGCGAACAGG
rnacentral:rRNA from 2 species